rnacentral:rRNA from 1 species
UCGAGGAUCUUCUGCAAUGGGCGCAAGCCUGACAGAGCGACGCCGCGUGGGGGAGGAAGGCCUUCGGGUUGUAAACCCCUGUUGCCGGUUAAGAAUGCUGGGGUGCAAAUAGCGCUACCAGUUGACAAAGGCCGGUGAGGAAGCCACGGCUAACUACGUGCCAGCAGCCGCGGUAAGACGUAGGUGGCGAGCGUUGUUCGGAAUCACUGGGCAUAAAGCGCGCGUAGGCGGCUAAGUAAGUUGGGUGUGAAAUACCUCGGCUCAACCGAGGAACUGCGCCCGAUACUGCUUGGCUUGAGGGUGCGAGGGGAGAGUGGAAUUCCCGGUGGAGCGGUGAAAUGCGUAGAGAUCGGGAAGAACGCCGGCGGCGAAAGCGACUCUCUGGUGCACUCCUGACGCUGAGGCGCGAAAGCUAGGGGAGCAAACGGGAUUAGAUACCCCCGUAGUCC